rnacentral:lncRNA from 1 species
CUCGUUUCAUAAACGAGCCGAAUACGAGUUAGCUCGUUAAAAUAUCGAGUCGACGAAAAAUUCAGCUCGAUCGUGUGCGGCUCGUCUAUUAACGAGCCGAGCACGAGCUGUCUCAUGAACAACAAGUUAAAAGAAUUAUAAAAAAUAUAUAUAUAAAAAAUAAAUUUAUGAGAUCUUACCCAUUUGACUUUGAUUUAAUAGUUGAAAUUCUACAUAUAAAUGAUCUUUUUAUAAUUAAGUUGGGCUUUAUAUUUAGAUUAAACUAAAAACCAAAAAAUAAAAUUUUAUAUUUUAUAUAUAUAAUUAUUUAUUUAUAUAUAUAUAUAUAAAAUAUAUGUAUUCGAGCCGUUAUCGAGUCGAACACAAGCGAGCUGACCCUUACUCGUGUUCGGCUCGUUUAUUAAACGAACUGAAAAAUUAAGCUCAUGUUCGGUUCGUUGAUUAAACGAGCGAUUUGAUCUCUAGCUCAUUUCAAGCCGAAUAUAAGCUGGCUCAACGAACAACAAGCUAAAUUGCCACCCCUAUCUGAAGGUAAUUAAUGAAACACGCUUCUCACUU